GACGAACGCUGGCGGCGUGCCUAAUACAUGCAAGUUGAGCGCUGAAGGUUGGUACUUGUACCAACUGGAUGAGCAGCGAACGGGUGAGUAACGCGUGGGGAAUCUGCCUUUGAGCGGGGGACAACAUUUGGAAACGAAUGCUAAUACCGCAUAAAAACUUUAAACACAAGUUUUAAGUUUGAAAGAUGCAAUUGCAUCACUCAAAGAUGAUCCCGCGUUGUAUUAGCUAGUUGGUGAGGUAAAGGCUCACCAAGGCGAUGAUACAUAGCCGACCUGAGAGGGUGAUCGGCCACAUUGGGACUGAGACACGGCCCAAACUCCUACGGGAGGCAGCAGUAGGGAAUCUUCGGCAAUGGACGAAAGUCUGACCGAGCAACGCCGCGUGAGUGAAGAAGGUUUUCGGAUCGUAAAACUCUGUUGGUAGAGAAGAACGUUGGUGAGAGUGGAAAGCUCAUCAAGUGACGUAACUACCCA
rnacentral:rRNA from 1 species